CAACUAUAGAUUGCAUUAGGUACAUGUACGUUUAGCAGAAAAAUUACAUUUUGUGUGCACUACCACGCACUGUUUUUUCUCUGCAAUAAGUCAGUUUGGUGGAAACAAACCGCUGGAGGGAAAAUGCCCAUAUUUUCUUUAUGCGGAUUUGAGAACAUUUACAUGAAAAUCUGUCGCCAAUUGGAUGGAAACCUACUAUCUUUUGAUAUAAUUAAUCACUGAUUGCUACAAUGUAUUUACAUAAGAUCGUGUCCGUAAUAAAAUAACCGGAAGUACUCAAACGGAAGUAUCACACUUUGUGCUACACAAAAUGAGUUCCCAUCGACAUUAGGUUGGCAGCUAUAAAGACAUCAUUGUCGAGGGCAUGGCCCUUCUUCACGUGCUGGAACCUCGAAUUGGUGCGACACAGUACUAGUCAAAAGUUUGGACACACCUACUCAUUCCAGGGUUUUUGUCUACCACAGCAUUUAUUUUUCACCAGGACAAUGACCCAAAACACACCUCCAGGUUGUGUAAGGGCUAUUUGAUCAAGAAGGAGAGUGAUGGAGUGCUGCAUCAGAUGACCUGACCUCCACAAUCACCUGACCUCAACCCAAUUGAGAUGGUUUGGAAUGAGUUGGACCUCAGAGUGAAGGAAAAGCAGCCAACAAGUGCUCAGCAUGUGGGAACUCCUUCAACACUGUUGGAAAAGCAUUCCAGGUGAAGCUGGUUGAGAGAAUGCCAAGAGUAUGCAAAGCUGUCAUCAAGGCAAAGGGUGGCUACCUUGAAGAAUCUCAAAUAUAUUUUGAUUUGUUUAACACAUUUUUUGGUUACUACAUGAUUCCAUAUGUGUUAUUUUAUCGUUUUGUUGUCUUCACUAUUAUUCCACAAUGUUGAAAAUAGUACAAAUAAAGAACAACCCUUGAAUGA